rnacentral:rRNA from 1 species
GAUGAACGCUGGCGGCGUGCCUAAUACAUGCAAGUCGAGCGAAUGGAUUAAGAGCUUGCUCUUAUGAAGUUAGCGGCGGACGGGUGAGUAACACGUGGGUAACCUGCCCAUAAGACUGGGAUAACUCCGGGAAACCGGGGCUAAUACCGGAUAACAUUUUGAACCGCCUGGUUCGAAAUUGAAAGGCGGCUUCGGCUGUCACUUACGGAUGGACCCGCGUCGCAUUAGCUAGUUGGUGAGGUAACGGCUCACCAAGGCAACGAUGCGUAGCCGACCUGAGAGGGUGAUCGGCCACACUGGGACUGAGACACGGCCCAGACUCCUACGGGAGGCAGCAGUAGGGAAUCUUCCGCAAUGGGCGAAAGUCUGACGGAGCAACGCCGCGUGAGUGAUGAAGGCUUUCGGGUCGUAAAACUCUGUUGUUAGGGAAGAACAAGUGCUAGUUGAAUAAGCUGGCACCUUGACGGUACCUAACCAGAAAGCCACGGCUAACUACGUGCCAGCCGCCGCCGUAA